UACGAAGGACCCAAGCGUUAUCCGGAUUUAUUGGGUUUAAAGGGUGCGUAGGCGGAUUAUUAAGUCAGUGGUGAAAGCCUUCAGCUUAACUGAAGAACUGCCAUUGAUACUGAUGAUCUUGAGUAUGAUUGAGGUGGGCGGAAUGUGUCAUGUAGCGGUGAAAUGCUUAGAUAUGACACAGAACACCGAUUGCGAAGGCAGCUCACUAAGCCAAUAACUGACGCUGAUGCACGAAAAGCGUGGGGAGCAAACAGG
rnacentral:rRNA from 1 species